rnacentral:rRNA from 1 species
CGAGUGGCGGACGGGGGAGUAAUGUCUGGGAAACUGCCUGGUGGAGGGGGGUAACUACUGGAAACGGUAGCUAAUACCGCAUAACGUCGCAAGACCAAAGAGGGGACCUUCGGGCCUCUUGCCAUCGGAUGUGCCCAGAUGGGAUUAGCUAGUAGGUGGGGUAACGGCUCACCUAGGCGACGAUCCCUAGCUGGUCUGAGAGGAUGACCAGCCACACUGGAACUGAGACACGGUCCAG